rnacentral:rRNA from 1 species
AUUGAACGCUGGCGGCAUGCCUAACACAUGCAAGUCGAACGAAGGUAAGGGGCAACUCUUACUUUAGUGGCGGACGGGUGAGUAAUACGUAGGAAUCUACCUUAAGGUGGGGGAUAACUCGGGGAAACUCGAGCUAAUACCGCAUAUUCUCUAUGGAGUAAAGGGGGCUUCGGCUCUCGCCUUAAGAUGAGCUUACGCCGGAUUAGCUAGUUGGUGGGGUAAAGGCCUACCAAGGCAACGAUCCGUAGCUGGUCUGAGAGGAUGAUCAGCCACACUGGGACUGAGAUACGGCCCAGACUCCUACGGGAGGCAGCAGUGGGGAAUAUUGGACAAUAGGCGAAAGCCUGAUCCAGCAAUGCCGCGUGUGUGAAGAAGGCCUUCGGGUUGUAAAGCACUUUCAGUGGGGAGGAAUGGUUCAGGGUUAAUACCCCUGAAAAGUGACGUUACCCACAGAAGAAGCACCGGCUAACUCUGUGCCAGCCGCCGCUGUAA